GGCCCGAAUUUGUAGUCGAGUAGAUUAGAAGGAUCAUCUGACCCUACUAAACUACUCUACUUCGAGUUUUUGCCC
rnacentral:pre_miRNA from 1 species